rnacentral:rRNA from 1 species
UACGUAGGGUGCAGGCGUUAAUCGGAAUUACUGGGCGUAAAGCGUGCGCAGGCGGUUUGCUAAGACAGGUGUGAAAUCCCCAGGCUUAACCUGGGAACUGCAUUGGUGACUGGCAGGCUUUGAGUGUGGCAGAGGGAGGUAGAAUUCCACGUGUAGCAGUGAAAUGCGUAGAGAUGUGGAGGAAUACCGAUGGCGAAGGCAGCCUCCUGGGCCAACACUGACGCUCAUGCACGAAAGCGUGGGGAGCAAACAGG